GAUGGUAGUGUAUUGGACCACCAUGGCAGUCACGGGUAACGGAGAAUUAGGGUUCGGUUCCGGAGAGGGAGCCUGAGAAACGGCUACCACAUCUACGGAAGGCAGCAGGCGCGUAAAUUACCCAAUCCUGACUCAGGGAGGUAGUGACAAGAAAUAACCGCCUGGGGGCCCUCGCGGCCUUACGGGACGGCAAUGAGCACAAUUCAAACCCCUUAGCGAGGAACAAUUGGAGGGCAAGUCUGGUGCCAGCAGCCGCGGUAAUA
rnacentral:rRNA from 1 species